rnacentral:lncRNA from 1 species
GUCGAGAAUGAAGGCGCUUCCCGCGUAAAGGGCAGGAAGCCGCAUCAAACAUUACAUAAAAUGAGAUGACAUGACAUCAUCACAUCAUCGGCUACACACCCUUAUUAGCCCCAGGGUGUGUUACGUGAAUAUUUAUUACCAUCAUCAGACGUCAGAAAAUAAGCCCAACUAUCAUUUCGUCACAACAUAAAAUGACGGGUCUUUUAUUGAGUCUUCAAGGAAAAAGUAAUCUGAAAAUGAAAUGUGCCACACUUUCUUGUGCUGAUGCAAAUCUCAGCUCUGCAGAUCAUCUUUGUAAAAAAAAGUGAGUCAACUGUUUUCUCCUGGUGUACUGGUUUGAGACCGUGAGCUCCUACAAAAACUUACAAAAUAGUCUGAUCUUUGUGAGAUGAACAUGUGUAAUCAUGUUGUGUGUGUGUGUGUGUGUGUGUGUGUGUGUGUGUGUGUGCUCGGGGAGAGCUCUUGUGCUCUUGGCUCUCUUAGGUAGCACCCCAAUCCUAUAACAGAAAAAUAUAAGCCCUAUGUAUACAUAUGUAACAUGAAAACUAUGUAAUAAAAGAACUGUGCCUCUAAAGAAAACAUGAGAACUGUAUCCAAAGGAAGAACUGUACCACAAAAGAAAACAUGAUAACUGUAUGUGAAGAAAGAACUGUGCCUCAAAAGAAAUAUGGAAACUGUAUGUGAAGAAGAAAUUGUGCCUCGAAAAGAGGCUCAAAAACCUUAUGCAAAGAACGAAAUGUGCCUCAAAAGAAAGCAUGAAAACUGUAAGCGAAGAAAGAACUGUGCCUCACUGAAAAACUCAACAAAUCUACUAAAGCUGAAUAUGGGAAACUAAUGAUGCUCGCAAAUUACUUAUUUAUAUGCCUUUAUUCUUAGUUGUUAGUGAUCAUUUUUCACUUUGGAUGAGAUUGUUGAAGGGGCCAGUCAGAUGAGUUCACACACUGAAGAUCUUGGUGUGAACCAUCUGCACCUGUUUUGAGGCGGGGACAAUAGUGUCCCAACUUCCUGCAGUACAGUUCUUUAUUGUUACCAGCCUAGUUACAGUAUCACAGACUAUUCACAGUUCUCACCUGGGUGAGGGUUUUUUAUGCCCUCCCCUUUCCCCCUCUUCCAUAAAUUAACUGGGCUGCAGUGGGUGAGGAUGCUAUCCUAAGUAGACUUUACUCUGCACAUGUAGCACUCCCCUUGCUGGGGGAACAAGCUACUGAAAAUAAUCCCCCUUAUAUCUUCAUUUCGUCACACAUUAUAAUGAUACAGUGUGCCUGGAAAACAGCCAUGCAUAUUUCCACAAUUCAAAAUUGUGUGUAUAAAUCGAGAAUCUUAAAAAAAAAUUAUGUGAAAACGUUGGUGAUCAAGAAUGUAACGUUUAAAGUAGUCAUUAAGUUGUAACUAAACAGCAUCUUCAGCUCUUUUUGUGUAAUGUUUGUUAAUAAUGAAAUAAAUGGGGCUCAAAUAGGA